rnacentral:lncRNA from 1 species
GGCUGCUCCUAACAGAACUAACUAAGCUGCUGAUUCGGCCCUAAGGUCCAAUGAGCACUCAGGGAAUUUGGUGGAAGAAUUUACCUUUUCCAACCCACCCACUUCACUGGUGAAUAAAUUGCCUUUGAAAAGCCACUGCACCAUUCUGCCUGGGUUCCCAUUCUGACAUUUCUGACAAAGCAAGAGGUGCAGGGCUGCAUGCUGGUGAAUCUACAGCCUGCUAAAGCUACUGGAAACCUUCCUGAGGAACAGUUUCUAUGCUUACCUGUCAUGUACCAGCCUCUUUGGUCUGAAGUAUAUUUGUGGCUUCCUAUAAGAAGGCUAGGCUUACUCUCCUCACUAAAAAGAGAUUGGUAGGUGAGGAGGAGGGCCUUACAGAUGGCUAGCUACUUAAUCAUGGAGAUGCCUGAUUGUGGAGCUCUGCCAAGAAAACUGUUCUCUGUGUUCUAGCUGGACCUGGGUACUUCAUGAGGGAUCCAGGUCAAUCCUCACACACGGAAAACUAGAGAUUCUUCUUAAUCUCUCAGUUGAGAAACUUGAAGUGCAGAGAACUGGACGAACUGUCUAAAGCAAUACAGCUACUAAAAUUCAAAACAAGGCAAGGGGCAAAGUACUCCUGAGGGAAAAGAGGCAAAGUGAAGCACUUCCGACUCAGAACAAGCAAUCAUUCGGAAGAGUGUUUUCCUGCCUGCCUCUGCUGGGUCAGCAGAUCAGCAAUGCAGAAGUGCUUGCUGGGAUUAAAAACCAUUCUCUUUUUAUUCUUCAGUGUUUUACAGCUGCAACAUAUCUUGGUUAAAAUGAACAUCUCUCACACAAUGCUAUACCCUCCUUUCUGCCUCUUUGUCAAUGUAAUAAAUAUCACGAUCAUUCUUUUUCCUUCUAGAAGAACAUCUUAUAUAAUAAAUUGUUGUGUUACAAGAGAAUGCCAAUGGAUCACACAAAAGUCAGUACGCCUGCACAUUAGAAUUGCCUACAAAAAUCUGAAAUCAUGCCUGGGACACACAGACAUAAAUUACUUAAUUAGUGUCUCCUAGGAAGGGGGGCAAGCACCAAGGUCAGCAUCAGUGCUUUUAAAAGUAUCCUAGAAGGUCUAGCAGUAUAUCUAUAACUGUAUCAAGCCCCAGAGUUAUUUGGAAAUCUUGUUCAAGUGCUGAUUCUGAUGGAAGGCCUAAAUGGUGGUUAUAGGCUGCAUUCUUGUGCAGCUACUUCAUCUGUAGUGUGAUGGAGUGGUGAGGCUUCAGACUAGCUCUUCUCAAGCUUUGGUUCCUAGAUCUGUGGCAUCCAUAUCAUGCUUGUGAUUUGAUUACAGAGCCCAGACAUUUUUUAACUUCAAGGUGAUUCCAGUGUGUACGGAAGUAAGAACUGCUGUUGCAUGAUCUUCCAGAGUCUAGCUCUGUGGGUGGGUGGUGAGAGGAAAGGCAUAGCCCACAGUGAUCCACAGAGAGGAUCCCAGUAUUGGCAGGAUGCUUGUGGAAGUAAGAGAUCAGACUACAAGAAUUCUUCCCCCACAAGAAGUACAACCAGAUGUAGGUGGCAAACAGGGAGGUACCCCAAAAUGGUGAUGUGUCUGGGAGUGUGAAAUGCCAGUCAGAAUCUGGGAUGAUGAAACAGGCUGAUGCCCCACUGGACCAAAUCCCAAUGGCCAUGGUUUCUUCCUCUAAUAUCUUCUCUUAUCAAAAUACAUAUACUUUCCCUGUCUUUGCACACAGCAGAGCAGUUUUGGGGAUGUUUUAGGAUGAGGUUACUUGUGUUAGAAUUCUGGCUUAUUUGACUGUAUAAUAAGGCAUUUUAGACUGUAUUGGUUUCUAAUUUCCUUGUCAUGUAAAAUAAGACAAAUCUAUUAAUUAUAAUUACCCAUAGACUAUUUGAUAGGAAAGAGAUAAUGGGUGUACCAUGUUGAGGGCAUUGCUGGGGCCCAGGAAAUAUUCCUCAAAUAAAGCUGCUACAAUUUGCUAAACACAUGAAACUCAAGAAGAACGAAGACCAAAGUGUGGACACUUUGCCCCUUCUUAGAAUUGGGAACAAAACACCCAUGGAAGGAGUUACAGAGACAAAGUUUGGAACUGUGAAGAAAGGAUGGACCAUCUAGAGACUGCCAUAUCCAGGAAUCCAUCCCAUAAUCAGCUUCCAAACACUGACACCAUUGCAUACAUUAGCAAGAUUUUGCUGAAAGGACCCAGAUAGAGCUGUCUCUUGUGAGACUAUGCCGGGGCCUAGCAAACACAGAAGUGGAUGCUCACAGUCAGCUAGUAGAUGGACCACAGGGCCCCCAAUGGAGGAACUAGAGAAAGUACCCAAGGAGCUAAAGGGAUCUGCAAUCCUAUAGGUGGAACAACAAUAUGAACUAACUAGUGCCCCCUGGAGCUCAUAUCUCUUGCUGCAUAUGAAUCAGAAAACGGCCUAGUCGGCCAUCAGUGGAAAGAGAGGUCCAUUAGUCAUGCAAACUUUAUAUGCCUCAGUACAGGGGAACGCCAGGGCCAAGAAAUGGGAGUGGGUGGGGGAGCGUGUGGGGGACUUUUGGGAUAGCAUUGGAAAUGUAAAUGAAAUAAAUACCCAAUAAAAAAAAAAGGAAAAAAAAAGCUGCCACUGUCCUUGUUUCGUUUGUUUCUUCAUUUCUUCGGUUGCAU